GUACCUGGAGUCCUAGCUACUCGGGAGGCUGAGGAGGGAAGAUCACUAGGAGAUCAAGUGCUCAUUUCUAGGUAGAAAGAUAUAGACACUAUAUCAUUGAUUCAGCUCAUUAGCACUUGACGUUCUAGUGAUCCUCCUGCCUCAGCCUCCCGAGUAGAUAGGACUACAGGUACACACCACCACCCCCAGCUGUUGCCUGCUAUUGUUGUUUCUAUUCCUUGCAGCCGAAUGGAGUCCUACCUAGUUGAAAAGACAAAUUUAUACUUAUUACAAAUGUGUCACAUUCUAUUAUAAUUGCUGGCUCUAGAUGUAGUUUAUAAUAAACUCUUGAUUGUGGUCUAUGCUUUUAUACAGAUUUCUCAUUUCUUAUCUCUGCUCAAGGUUGAUGAUUUUUUUUUUUUUUUGAGACAGAGUCUUGCUCUGACAUGCAGGCUGGAGUGCAGCGGCACAAUCUUGGCUCACUGCAACCUCCACCUCCCAGGUUCAAGCAAUUCUCCUGCCUCAGUCUCCCAAGCAACUGGGACUACAGGCACGUGCCACCAUGCCCGGAUAAUUUUUUGUAUUUCUUUUUUUUUUUUUUGAGACGGAGUCUUGCCCUGUCGCCCAGAGUGGAACGCAGUGGCGCAAUCUCAGCUCACUGCAAGCUCCACCUCUUGGGUUCAAGCCAUUCUCCUGCCUCAGCCUCCUGAGUAGCUGGGACUACAGGUGCCCACCACCAUGCCCAGCUAAUUUUUUUGUAUUUUUAGUAGAGAUGGGGUUUCACCGUGUUAGCCAGGAUGGUUUCGAUCUCCUGACCUCAUGAUCCACCUGCCUCGGCCCCUCAAAGUGUUGGGAUUACAGGCGUGAGCCACCGUGCCUGGCCAAUUUUUUGUAUUUUUAGUAGAGACAGGGUUUCACCGUGUUAGCCAGGAUAGUCUCGAUCUCCUGACCUUGUGAUCUGCCCACCUCGGCCUCCUAGAGUGCUGGGAUUACAGGCGUGAGCCACCGCACGCGGCCGGUUGAUGAUCUUAAUACAGUGAUGCCAAGGAAAUCCAAGGAGAUGCAGCUCGAUCUGUCACAUCUUCUGUCUUUGUUAAGGCAGCUCUGAUAAAAGGAAGGGCUCACAGAUAAUCUGUAUUUCCCACCUCUUUUACAAUGGGGCCUUAUGACUGAGCUCUGGCCAAUGGAAUGUAGGUGGGAGAGAUGCAUGCCUGGCCUGGCUCAUAGAAACCUUCCUCAUGGCCCUUCCUUCUCCUCCCUUCCAAUGUGACUCUUGACGGUGACAUGCUGAAGAUGGGCGUGCAACCUGGGUCUUUGGGGAUCCAGUUGGAGAAGAGUGCCCUGAUCCACUUUGGACUAUGGUGAAAGGAAUCCAAUUUUAAUGUUGUUAAACAGCUGAGAUUUUAGGAUUGUUUAUGUUAGUGUGAGUGUAGAAGCUAAUGUUACUUUCACUGACUAACAAAAACACAAAGCAAAAACAGAUGUAGCCCCUGCCUUCACAGAGCCUGAAGCCCAGUGGGUGAAAGAGACAUUAAUAAAAUAACUACAAAAAUAAAAGUAAAAACACAAUUGUGGUAAGUAUAAUAAAGGAUAGGUAUCUGAGGAAACAAACACAUGAGCCAGAGGAAACUCAACCUAGACAACUGCCAUGAUGCAAUUAUGUUGAGAUAUGAAGGGUGAGUCCUGAGAGAACACAGGGGUGUUCCACUAAGAAGGAACAGAAUGUGGGAAGCUGAUAUGGUAAGGAGGAGUAAGGUACAUUCCAGAAACCAAAAAACCCCAGUAUGAGUAGAACACAGAGAAUGAGAAGGAUAUGAUGCAACGUGAGACUGGAGAAACAGGUAUGGACCCAACCAUUCAAGGCCUUAUAGAUUAUAGAUUUCAGUGUCUGUCCUAAGAUCAAUGGGGAGCCAUUCAAGAGUUUUAUGCAAGGCUGGUGACAAAAUCUUGUAUUUUAGACAGGUCUCUUUGGCUGCAAGCCUGAAGAAUGAAUUGGUAGUUCUAUUUCCAGCCAUAUGGUGGGUAGGCCAGAUAACUCAAAAACCCUUCCACCAGAAAGUUAAGAUAUUUUGAAUAAAAUGGAACACACAUUAAGUAUAGGGCUAAGCUUGCAAGUAGAAAACUCCCCAAAUGCCAGGUACAAAGAGGGAACUGAAACAAAAUCAGUAAGCUGUGGGACGUGUAUCUGCCUUGAGGAGCACUGCUCAGGCUCAGUGACUACAGGGAUUAGGUUUUAGUACUCACAUGGGGACAAGGGUCCAUGAAAAUUAGCAAGGGGAAACUGAAUCCUCACAUAAAACUAGACCCUUAAAAAGAUGGCCUAGGGGGGGAAAAAUCCAUCUAUUGUCACAACAAUGCUUGUCUUUUCAUGGUGCAUAGGAAGGAAACAAGUGUCCUUUGAGAAUCUGUGACUAUGCUUUACAAG